rnacentral:lncRNA from 1 species
GUGCACGCAUACACCUUAAAUAACCGUUAAUUAUGCCAUUUGAAAUCAACCUCAACAUUGUAUAAGUUUUUUUUAGCAAUGAUAACUGGACACACUAUUUUGCACACAAAUACGAACCAAGGGAAAAUUCAUGAUUUCCAUUAAAGUGCAGGGACAUAAUUGAUUUUCCAGCAGAAAUUGAGGGGGUAAUUUCAUGAUUUUCUAUUCAAAUUCUUUCUCAGAAUUUUUCACGUUUCACUUCCACCACCGCACUUGUCACUCAGUUUCACUACGACACCACCUUCUCCGAUCCACCACCACACCCUUUGCUCGUUUUACAGAUCAAGUCGCAGGGAGAGAGAUCUAUAGAUGGUGGACAAUGGCCGACCAAAACGGAUUUGCAGAGGAGAGAGAUCUGACUUAAAGAUGAGAACAGGUGGUUGCUGACAGGUUUGCAGAGAGGGAUGGAGUCGAGGACGGCGACCGGAAGGGGUGUGCGAGAGAGUUGCAGAGGAAAUGGUAGUUUGCAGAGGCGGUGGCGGGAUGGUGGUGGCGAUGUGAGGAAGAGAGAGUCUGAUCUGUAGGAAACGAAUUUAAAAAAAAAUGGAGCAUAAGUGAACAAUGUAUAUGAUGUUGUAUUUGUGUCAACAAUA